rnacentral:rRNA from 1 species
GGGGUGGGGGUGGCGGUGGCAGCUGCUGGGAGUGGCAUCUGUUCUAGCUCGGGUACGGGUCUAAGUACUCACCUCGGGGCGCUUCGACGGGCGUUUGACGAGGAGAAGGGGUAGGGGCUAAGGAGAGGUUAGAGGUGGCGGCGGCUAGGGGUGGGGGGUGGCCGCUGUAGCAGAGGGGCAGGGGCCGGGGUAGGGGUGGAGGCCGGCUGGAGGGAGGAGUAGAGCAGGUAGGUUGGUACCUUUGGAGGAAAAGGUGCCUAGGUGGGUGGGAGGGUGCAGGUGGGUACCUACCUACCUACCUACCCCGCGUGGUCAAGGCCGCUGCCGCCGCGGCCUAGGCGUGGGUGGACGCGCUACCUCCGGCCGGCGUAGCCCUAGGUGGCGGACGAGAGCCAGACCACGCCGUGUGGCCUGGUGUGGACUCUAACGAUGACGCCACCGGCAGCUGCUGCCGCGUAGAGGCCGCCCUGGAUCUACGGGUUCCGUACGUAGGCACCAACCACUGGAGCACACGGCGGUAACGGUCUCCGACCGACCGACCUAGCUGCCUGCAGGCGCCACGACCACAAACGUCGGAAUGUAGUGUCUAAGGACGUCAAGGUCCGACUAACCACUCUAAUGUCAAUAUUCCCACCUAGCUAAUCGUAUGAGACGGAUGACUUACGCAGGUGUAUUUGACGGUCCAAUAUAUUCGAGCACGCCUACCCUCCACCUACGGGCGUGCCUAGGCCGCAGAGGCUGGAGCCGUAGGUGUUCCUCCUCGCCGCUGUCAAUGUAUGGGUUGGUACCCCGUCGUCGUUAAGUACUAAUCGGUUCACAAGCAGCUAGACGUUCGGCCAAAUUCUCGACCUAACCGGCCAGGUUAAGUUGUGCCUCGACUAACAUACAACUUUGAAAAGCAGGUAGUUCUCAGCGGAGCGGCGGAGGCCGGCGGGGCUGCUGCGGGAGCGGAAACGGUUAGAGGUGAGGAGGUACUCCACUAAACAAAGAACCUUAAACCUUCUCCUUCCGCUACUUCGCACCAACAAUAGAUAGUUAUACGGAACACAAGACCAACAUGAAGUAUCGAUCAAUGUAACAUAAUACACGACCAGACCAACAUACUUGUGAUACAUUUCUAACAUUAUCCGAUUAAAACCAAUAGUAAAGUUCAUAUAUCAAGACAAAGUAAACUUUAUAAACAGUAGACACAUGACACUUUUACACUCUUUAUCUUUCGAC